GGGCGGCGGCAGAGCCGCGUCCUGCCCGCGCUGCGCCGCCAUCGAUCUGCGCCCCAGCAGAGGGCUCGGGCCCAUUACUUCUUAAGUAUUCUUGAGACAAACUGAUAAGAAGAACUACAACAGCCAGUCGCAUGUUUAAUGGCCAGUGUUUAUCCUUCAUUCGUGGUGGCUCAUCCACAUGGAUUAUUUUUUUUAUAACUUAGAGCCAACAAGAAAGCUGUUAGCUGGGCUGAAGAAGUUACUGUCUCUCAGUGGAUCUGCCAGCACAUCUAGUUUCACAUCCCUAGGAGAAUUAAUAUUAACUUAGAAAGUCUCAGUGGUCUGUUUUUUAAAUCAGCUGAAAGUAUCCUGAUGGAAAUACUGAAAACUGGAGAUACAGAUUUGGUUCAUCUCCUAAAGCAAAUGCUUAUGAUGGUGUUACUUUAUUUAGAUGGAACAUUUGUGAGGGAAAGGAAGAAAAUCUUUUUUCAUCAUCUUGCUAGGGAGAUGAGCAUCCCAGAGCACUAAUAUAUGAAAUAUACAAGUCCAGCUAAAAAUAAAGAUGGAUUUUUGCCAAGAGUGAUGAUCAACAUGACUAGAUAUUACAGAAUUUGUCUAUUUACAUGGAGAGGAAAAAAAAAUUUUUGGAAGUUGCAGCACAAGCAAAAUUCAGGCUUUGUGCACCCUACUGCCAUGGAGACUCCAAGCUGCCAAUCCCUGCCCAGCCCAGGAUCCAGGAUACUGAAGACAGGCCCAUAAGCAUGGCCAGUGGUCAUCCCCACAAAAUAAAGGGGGAUCACACCUUUCACAGCUCGAUGUGCACCUAAGUUACUGCCAGACUCUCUGAAGUUGGGUCAGCUGGGUCCCAAUUUUCUUUCUUAUUCACCUGGACCAACCCGAUGAAGCUGGGCCAGGGUCUGACUGCCCCUGUGGGUCUGUCUGCCCCAGGGCACAGCAGAAUUUCUUCCUGGCUGUGCACUCCUCUAGGUGCAAGCUGGACACCGGCAUGGAUCACAGUGGCUCCUGUCCAGUCACAGUGGAGUCCAUCUCUGACAGAGCAUUAAAAAUCACAUUAAAAUCAUAUAUGUAAUUUUUAGCUAUGGUGCUUUGAAGUGUUCCUUUUUUAUGCAUUGAAGUGUUUAUGCUGAAACCCUCAGUAGCUCUUGCUGGUUAUCCCCAAAUUCAGAGACACAGAAAGGGAUAGUUAAGACUGAAAAUAAAUAGAAAACCCAAAACAACACCACACAAGAGAAAGUUACCAAGUCAUUUGCAAGGUAAUAGCUGAAAAUAAGCAAACAAAAAACCCAAAACACCACACAAGAGAAAGAAAGUUACCAAGUCGUUUACAAGGUAAUAACUUUUUACACGGUUGUUCUAUUUUCUAUUAAGUAUAGUAAUUAAAUAUUGAUCUCAUUAACACUAUGCACUGCUGCUUCUAUUCUGUAUGAACUUCUUGUGGCUGCAAGGUCCUUCAGCAAUUAGCAGUCUACACUCAAACAGAGGAUUAGAAACUAAUGGGGACUUCACUGCCUAUAAACAUGUGAACUUGGACCUCUGGAUCAUUAUGAUUUGGGUGAUCAAAUGGCAAAUCCAACCAUCCUUUUGGUGAGGAACAAAAUAAAUCUUUGUUUUCCUGAUAUGCAACAAGGAACUUGUCAUUACCUAUAUAGCAUGAACAUUUUGGGCUCUCUAUCUUUAGGUAUUUUGGGUCUCAUUAAAUAACAGACUCCAGAAUUUUAAAUUAUUUAUUUUUUUCAACCAUAGUUUUCAAUUUCCCUGCCUGUCCUCCCCUUGUGCUUGAUUCCUAACUCUCUAGAACUGUCUGACCACCAUUUUCUACAUUUACUGCACCUUCCAGAUUGAUCUUAAUUUAAAAAAAAUCUCCCUACAUUUGAAAACCACAAAUAAAUAAAAAAAAUGUGUUCAAUGUUCAGAAGCAUUGCAAUGAAAAUUACUUGAAUGUUUAGAAGCACCAGAAAAGUAACAGAGAA